GACGAACGCUGGCGGCGUGCUUAACACAUGCAAGUCGAACGGAAAGGCCCUGCUUUUGUGGGGUGCUCGAGUGGCGAACGGGUGAGUAACACGUGAGUAACCUGCCCUUGACUUUGGGAUAACUUCAGGAAACUGGGGCUAAUACCGGAUAGGAGCUCCUGCUGCAUGGUGGGGGUUGGAAAGUUUCGGCGGUUGGGGAUGGACUCGCGGCUUAUCAGCUUGUUGGUGGGGUAGUGGCUUACCAAGGCUUUGACGGGUAGCCGGCCUGAGAGGGUGACCGGGCACAGUGGGAAUGAGAGACGGCCCAGACUACUAUGGGAGGCAGCAGUGGGGCAUAUUGCACAAUGGGCGGAAGCCUAAUGCAGCAACGCCGCGUGCGGGAUGACGGCCUUCGGGUGGUAAACCGCUUUCGCCUGUGACGAAGCGUGAGUGACGGGAAUGGGUAAAGAAGCACCGGCUAACUACGUG
rnacentral:rRNA from 1 species